rnacentral:misc_RNA from 1 species
GUGAAUCAUCGAAUCUUUGAACGCACCUUGCGCUCCUUGGUAUUCCGAGGAGCAUGCCUGUUUGAGUGUCUUGAAGUCGUCAACCCCUCCCGUUUACGUGCGGGUCGGGUUGGACCGUGGGGGCUCUUGCUGCCGUGAGGCGGCUCCCCUCAAAUGCGUUGGCUGGGCCUGUGGGUCGAACUCGACUGGGCGUUGUACCAUCCUCGCUCGAUGGAGAAGUAGACCCUGUGGGGCCUUCCCUGCGACCCGCUCCCCUCGGGGCUGGUCGAGCUUUUCGAAAUCUGACCUCAAAUCAGGUAGGACUACCCGCUGAACUUAAGCAUAUCAAUAAGCGGAGGA